CAAAGAAGCAGCGGGCAGCGCCGCAGGUUUUUCCUGGGGAUGAACCCGCGAGAGUGGAAGAGCUCCGGAGAACAUCUGCACUGUGUGUCGAUGCACCUUACGAGAUAAUAAGGCCAGCAAGCAAGGCAACUGCAAUGAAGCAUCAAGAAAGACAUGGACAUGCCAGCCACCCUGAGACUGAUAAUUCAUGAGAAGACAUUUCUGUCAAAGUGGAUGGUGAGCAAAGAUGAUGGCUACGUUUUGGAGCAGCACCUGGGUUUUGCAGAUGGCUAUGUAUUCUUUGGCUGUUUGUCUUUUUUCCCCAUUUUGUUUCUGUUGCCUAAAGAUUCUUUGUGAGGAUAAAUCACAACAUAAUGCACUGCAAAACGUCCUAAGACAGGAGAAAUGGUGAAGAUGCACUGUUCCAGCACUGGAAGACUGUAUUUUUAUGUGUUAUA